AUGGGAGCUUGCGCCCUGAUGUUAGCGGCGGACGGGUGAGUAACACGUGGGUAACCCUGCCUGUAAGACUGGGAUAACUCCGGGAAACCGGGGCUUAAUACCGGAUGGUUGUUUGAACCGCAUGGUUCAAACAUAAAAGGUGGCUUCGGCUACCACUUACAGAUGGACCCGCGGCGCAUUAGCUAGUUGGUGAGGUAACGGCUCACCAAGGCAACGAUGCGUAGCCGACCUGAGAGGGUGAUCGGCCACACUGGGACUGAGACACGGCCCAGACUCCUACGGGAGGCAGCAGUAGGGAAUCUUCCGCAAUGGACGAAAGUCUGACGGAGCAACGCCGCGUGAGUGAUGAACGUUUUCGGAUCGUAAAGCUCUGUUGUUAGGGAAGAACAAGUACCGUUCGAAUAGGGCGGUACCUUGACGGUACCUAACCAGAAAGCCACGGCUAACUACGUGCAGCAGCCGCGGUAAUACGUAGGUGGCAAGCGUUGUCCGGAAUUAUUGGGCGUAAAGGGCUCGCAGGCGGUUUCUUAAGCUCUGAUGUGAAAGCCCCCGGCUCAACCGGGGAGGGUCAUUGGAAACUGGGGAACUUGAGUGCAGAAGAGGAGAGUGGAAUUCCACGUGUAGCGGUGAAUGCGUAGAGAUGCGGAGGAACACCAGUGGCGAAGGCGACUCUCUGGUCUGUAACUGACGCUGAGGAGCGAAAGCGUGGGGAGCGAACAGGAUUAGAUACCCUGGUAGUCCACGCCGUAAACGAUGAGUGCUAAGUGUUAGGGGGUUUCCGCCCCUUAGUGCUGCAGCUAACGCAUUAAGCACUCCGCCUGGGGAGUACGGUCGCAAGACGGAAACUCAAAGGAAUUGACGGGGGCCCGCACAAGCGGUGGAGCAUGUGGUUUAAUUCGAAGCAACGCGAAGAACCUUACCAGGUCUUGACAUCCUCUGACAAUCCUAGAGAUAGGACGUCCCCUUCGGGGGCAGAGUGACAGGUGGUGCAUGGUUGUCGUCAGCUCGUGUCGUGAGAUGUUGGGUUAAGUCCCGCAACGAGCGCAACCCUUGAUCUUAGUUGCCAGCAUUCAGUUGGGCACUCUAAGGUGACUGCCGGUGACAAACCGGAGGAAGGUGGGGAUGACGUCAAAUCAUCAUGCCCCUUAUGACCUGGGCUACACACGUGCUACAAUGGACAGAACAAAGGGCAGCGAAACCGCGAGGCUAAGCCAAUCCCACAAAUCUGUUCUCAGUUCGGAUCGCAGUCUGCAACUCGAACUGCG
rnacentral:rRNA from 1 species